rnacentral:tRNA from 1 species
UACAUUAUAGUGUUGAGGCACGUAAAUUUUUGGAUUUUAAAGCGAAGGUUCAAUGCCUUUUUUUGUAA